CCUACGGGAGGCAGCAGUGAGGAAUAUUGGUCAAUGGGCGAGAGCCUGAACCAGCCAAGUCGCGUGAGGGAGUACUGCCCUAUGGGUUGUAAACCUCUUUUGUCGGGGAGCAAAAGCCGGACGUUUCCGGCUGUGAGAGUACCCGAAGAAAAAGCAUCGGCUACCUCCGUGCCACCAGCCCCGGUAAUACGGAGGAUGCGAGCUUUAUCUGGUUUUAUUGGGUGUAAAGGGGGCGCAGGCGGAUGUUUACGUCAGCGUUAAACUCGUGGGGCUCAACCCCAUCCAGCCGUUGAAACUGGGGAUCUAGAGGGUGCGAGAGGUAUGCGGAAUGCGUGGUGUAGCGGUGAAAUGCAUAGAUAUCACGCAGAACCCCGAUUGCGAAGGCAGCAUACCGGUGCACAACUGACGCUCAGGCACGAAAGCGUGGGUAUCGAACAGGAUUAGAUACCCCAGUAGUC
rnacentral:rRNA from 1 species